rnacentral:sRNA from 1 species
UUUAUUCGUUUAGCGGGACGAAGCAAUGUCCUGUGUUGGCGCUGUACUACUGAGGCGGAAGUCGAUUGAAGGCAAGCCUCAUGUGCAACGAGGGGCUACUUCG